UGUUUUUAGGAGUUACUUACAACUUUGGGCCUAUCCCUGAGUAUCUGGUGUUGGUUUCAUUUGAUUAGUUCAUAGUAUCUUUUACAAAAUUAUUUUUUAAACCCUUCAUUGAUCCUUUGUGAAUUUCACAUCAUGCCUCCCAACCCUACCCAUUUUCUCAUUCCUCCAUAUCUAACCUCUGCCCUUGCAACUUCCCCCCCAAAAAAGGAAACAGAAUCUCCCCAUGGAGGCUGCAAUGUGUCCUGGCGUGUCCCACAGUACACCCUUUUGACCACUCAUCGUUACUUGCAAAUGUUCCUUGCGAUGAGUCAUUGGUCUGGUUCGAGGCCUCCGGCUUCUGCUACACCAUCAAUACUGGAUCCUCCUGGGACUCCUCUGUUGUUGCCUGUGUCAUGGAGAUCCUGUAGCUUUGGUUCCAAAGGACCUGCCCCUUCACAAGCUCCAGCAGUUCAUAGGAUUUGGAUUCUAGGCUUUUUUCUUGGCUACCUUGGAGUCUGAGGAAAGAACAGAGUCAAGAGAAUAAAAAGGAAAUUUGGCCAACUCUUCCGGAUAUCUAGAACCCACAUACUGUAACACUUCCCCGAAGGGUCUCCUCACAUCUACCCUUGCUCCCCAUAGCCUGUCCUCAGACCCCCAGUUCUCCACAGCCAGAAUGAGCCUGUCAAGUCACCCCCUGAAGCCCUGCAGCAGCAUUUCCACUUGACUAAGCUACAUUCCCUCAAGGACAGGUAACAUGGUCUGUGUCCUUCCUCCAUCUCCUGUGUCCCAGGCUUUGCUGCUGGCUCUGGUGCGCUGCAGGCAGGCCCAUCUUAGGGCAUUUGCUCCGUUUCUACCUGGAAGCUCUUCCCCAGGCUGCCUUUGCUUAGCUCUCACCUCCUUUUUUUUGAUGGACCCUUUAAAUUGAUUCAUAUUUAUCAUUCGUCAUCAUCCCCCACCCCCCCCAGAGACUGUCAGCCUUAUGAGGGUUUAUUUAUUGAUGUAUCCGAAACCAGGCAUUAAAAUAGUGAAUGAAUGAACAAACAAAUCCAGAGGAAUCUCCCUACAGCACUGCUUAUUAAUUCUCUUGAAGAACCCCACCCCAGCCUUUGUUAUCACCUUAGUGGGGAAAAAGCAGAAAGAAGGAAGAAUGAAAGAAUUAUCAAAAUUUAAGGUUGAAGGGCUGGAGAGACAGCUCUGUGAUUAAGAGAAUAUGGCUUCUCUGGAGCCCAAGUGUGGUUUCCAGUACCCAUGUCUGGUCCCUUAAAAUCACCCGUAACUCUGAGUGGUUGCAUUCCCCCAACACCCUCUUCUGGCACACAUUUGACCUAAACACACAGAUACACACACUCCAAAUCUUUCUUUUAAAAUUCAAGGCUGACUUUUGUCAACUGAAAGGUUCAACCACCUUCUCCUUCAUCUCCAUGACCUUUGCUCCUUUGGGGCAGGCCAGGGAAAAACACUGAUAACAAACAAAGAACUGGAAUCUGCCUGCUUGUAACUCCCAGGACUUCACUCAGGCAAAGCAGGAGAGAUGCAAGAGUGGCCGGCUCCGGCCUGUUCCCACUCUGUGUGUCGGGGGGAGGGGUGUUGAAUGUGCCCCUUCAGGUGUGUCCACGUGUGUGCAUGAACAUGUGGAGGCUGGAGGUUGCUGGCUGUCUUCCUUUAUUGUGCUGCACAGCUUUGAGAUAAGGUCUUCAGUGGUACUGGGACUCGCAGGUUUGGCGAGGCUGGCUGGCCAGUGAGAUCCAGGGCUAUUCCCCCUGCCCAGCUCUGGGAUUAUAGACCAACCACCAGCUUUCUAUGUGGAUGGGAUUCAGACUCACAUGCAUGGCAGACAUGUUACCUAGGCCCUCAUUCUCUGCUUGUUUGUUUGUUCGUUUGGUUGCUUUAUUGAGACAGGGUCUCACUAUGUAGUUCUGGCUGUCCUGGAACUUGCUUUGUAGACCAGGCUAGCCUUGACCUCAUAGAGAUCCACCUGCCUCUGCUUCCUGAGUGCUGGGAUUAAAGGUGUGCCACCACAGCCAGCCACUGUCCACUUAGGUACACACUUGUGCCACAGUUUUUUUCACCUGAGCAAGAGCCGGGUGAACACUAUCAGUACAAGCAUCUCUCUCAAGUCUUCAGCAGAAAGCUGGAAAGAAGGGACCAGCAGAAAGAAAACGGGAUAAGAGAGAGGAUUGGAGAGAUGGCCCAGCAGGUAGAGCGCUGGCUGCUCUUCCAGAGGACCCAGGUUCAAAUCCCAGCACCUACAUAACAGCUCACACCUGCCUGUCACUGCAGCCCCAGGGGAUCUGACACCUUUACAAAGACACACAUUCGAGCAAAACACCAAUGCAUAGUAAAUAAAUAAAUAAAUAAAUAGCCCGAAGACAUUCAAACAUACAGUAAUUAAAACUAUGUGAGGCUCAGGUUCAUUUUAAAACAAAGUUGUAAAUAAACAAAGUUUAACUUUCUCCUCAGCGACUACCUAAAAAGAGAGAAGAAAGAAGGAAAUCUAAGGGAGUGCUAGCAAUAUCAGACAAACUAGAAUUUAAGAUGAAAAGUAAUGGAGAUGUAACUCAGUAGUAGACUGCUCGCCUAGCACACACACAGCUCUGGGGUCCACCCUCCCCCAUCAUCUUCAUCAUCAUCGCCACCACCUCCCUUUUAUAUGCACUCACAAGGAAACGGGGCUUUGCUGUUUUGUUUAAUCUGCUGAGGGCCAGAAAGAUGUGCCAGCGGGGAAAGACACUUGCCUCAGCACCUGAGUUCAAUCUCAGCUUCACAGAGUGGGAGGGGAGCGCCUGCUCCCACAAGUUGUCCUCCAUAUAUAGAGCUUGGCACACACGCACAUAGACACACACAACAAAAUAAGUGGAUAAAUGUAAAAAGGGUUAUCUAUUGAGCGAUGUACUCCAAAGAGAGGUUUCAAAGGUCAUGAACUAUAGGUUCUAUGGCCACACUUUGAGUUUCAUGUUCAAAUUAUGGCAGUAACACACCUCACCACUACUCACUCAGUGUUUUGUUUUGUUUUGUUUUGUUUUGUUUAACACCAGUUUUACUCACUAUUCACUAUCCAGCCAAAUUUAUUUUGAUUAGUCUUGACCUUUGAGUGCCUGGAUGUUUAGCAUUCUAUAUGAUCAGAUGGGAAGCACACAUAAACUCUUCUGCCCCACACUGAGAUACACACAUAGGUCUUCUCAAAAGCUCUGGUCAAUGAAAUGUAAGCUGGAGCUGGUUGCUGUCCCCACCUUCCAGGAUCAUUUGUACCUGAAAGAACUACAGGAAACUCCAAGCAAGGCUACAGACAAAAGGCAUGCUUUUAGGAAUUACCAACUCCUGCUAGGCAACGGUAGCACACGUUUUUAGUCUCAACACUCAGGAGACAGAGGCAGGCAGAUCUCUGAGUUUGAGGCCAGCCUGCUUCCAGGACAGCCAGGGAUAUGCAGGAAAACACUGUCAUAAACAAACAAAAGAAUUAUCAGCUUAGACAUGGUAAGGAAAAGGUCUAAUAAUACAUAACUGGUGAAGUUUUGUUCUCUAGGUUUGGACAGUUCUGGUCUUGGGGAAAGUGAGAAACUAAAGAAAGAGUAGGGGAACAUGGUUUGCACACUGCGUUCAAUGCUAGGCUCUGGAAGGAGGACAGGUCCGAAGAGAACAUGUUAGAGAAAUGUCUCUGUGAAGCUGUUCUGUUUUCUGCUAGCUGAGCAGCACGGUGAUGGAUGGGCCAUGAGCCAAACAAACAAUUUUGUUAUGACAGUAAUGGUUUUACUCAUCAAAGCAAGUCACACCAAAAGAAGCCCUGAUUGUUGGUCACCCAGCAUGGUGGCACAAAUCUUUAGUCCUAGUAACUCAAGAGGCAGAGGCAGGUAGAUCUCUGUGAGCUUGAGGCUAGCCUGGUCUACAUAUCAAGCACCAAGCCAGCCAAGGUUUUGUGAGACCCGGUCUCAAAAAUACAAAACAAAACAACUCCCACCCCACCCCCCAAAAAAAACACCUGUUGUUCUUUUAUAGAGAAUCCUUGCUCUCUCUCACAGCUUUCAACAUAAUAACAUACAAAAUUAAUUGACGCAUGGCACCACCAUGAACUUCCGUAAUUACAAAUACCUCAUCAUAUUUACAAAAGUGGUGAACUUUUCUUCCCUGUGUGGCAUACAUUGUGAUGGCCAUCUCCAAAGUGACUUACAUUUAUAUUAGAUUAUAGUCAUAAAUCUUACAGUGUUUUUUAACAUGCUCUAUAAAAAAAUUCAACCUGACCUUUUCCUUCCUAAAGACUUCUGCUGUGCCCAGGGUUUAGACGAGGUUUUCUGUCUCUUCCCUCCAUCUUUUGGCUGUGCCCACCUCAUUCGGGCCCAGUGCUGGUCCCGGUGAAUCAAUGAUUUGUCUAACAAGUAGACGUUGGAGAAGACAAGCCUUCUUUUAACAGGCUAGCAAACUACAUUCCUUUAGCCUUAGCUAUGAUGGAGGAAAUUAUUCAAGUUAGGAAAGAAGUAAGGCUUUCAAAAAAACGUACAGAACUUCAACAAAUCUUUAAUAAAACUACAAGGCUAAAAAUUACAUGUAUGUUUUAAAAUUAGGACAAUUUUGUAUUUCAGUUUAUUUCUUUUGUAUGUGUGUAAGUGUUUGUGUUUGUGUGUGUGUGUUGCAGCAUGAUCUGGCGCUUUGUAUGUAAUUAAUUGCUUUGUUUUACCAGCAAGCCCUCAAGUAUGUCAAGGUGAUGCUGUGUUACCUUGCCUCCAAUUAUCCCUGAUUGGCCAAUAAAUGCUUAUAUGGACAGGGCGGACGUGAGGUAGGUGGAGCUAAAGUUCAAGAGCUUGGAGGACAGAGGAUCACGGGAGGGAGAAAAGAGAGGGUGAGGAGAAGAGAAGAAAAAGGUGGAGUGGCCAUGGGUUCAAGAACAGAAGAACCACAUGCCUGGGAGGAGCUUGUUCUGAGGAUCAGUGUGGAGGAAAGUAGUCCAAAUGAAACGCAUGUGCAAGUAUUUAUUCUAUUUGAAUUGUGGAUGGGAAGUAGCCCAGAUAGAAAUAAUUAAAGCAAAUGGCAUGGGAUGUGGGGCUGGAAGGUACAGAUAGCUUAGGGGUUACUUUCUGCCCAGUUCCAGUGUAUAGGCAUAUUAAAAAUCUAACGGGUGUCUGAGUCUUCUGUUGAUAUGAUAGUGAGUUAAUAAUGGCUACAAUAAUUAUAAUAAUAGUAAAUAUUAAUAGCAAAUUUUCUACAACAUGUAUACGUGUGUGUGUGUGUGUGUGUGUGUGUGCACAUGCCCUCAAAGCACACAUGUAGAGGUCAGAAGAAAACUUGCAAGCAUCAGUCUCCCCUUCCACCAUGCAAGUUCUGGGGGUCAAACGUGGGUCAUCAGAUUUGGCAGCAAUUGCCUUUACCUGCUUAGCCAUUUUGCUGGUCCUGACUGAGGACAAAUUUAAAUGAAAAGAUUAACCAGGCAAAACAGACGAUAACUGGAAUAGCCAGAUGUUCGGGUACCCUAAAUUAGAAGUUGAAGCAAGAGAAGUGGCUCCCAACGUUGCUUUUGUUGCCUCUCUCUAUGGCUUACAGCAACCCUUAGUUAUAGAUUUACUCAUAGCACUGGUCUCACUGUGGACCCGCACAUAUAGACCAGGCUGGCUUCAAAACUUGACUAUAGUGGUUUAAAUGAGAAAUGUUCCUCGUAGGCUCAUGUCCCCAUUUGGUAAAGUUUGGAGAAGUUACGGAACCUUUAGGAGAUGCAGCUUUGCUCAUGAAAGUAUAUCUCUGGGGAUGGCCUUUGAGGCUAAUGGCCUCAUCCCACUUCUUCUUGGCUCUCUACUUUCCUGUAUGGAACUCAGCUUCCUGCUCUUGCCGCCACACCUUCCCCACUGUGGACAUUCAGCCCUCUGGAAA